rnacentral:rRNA from 1 species
GACGAACGCUGGCGGCGCGCUUAAUACAUGCAAGUCGAACGAGAAGCCAGAGCUUGCUCUGGUGGAAAGUGGCGAACGGGUGAGUAACACGUGAGAAACCUGCCCCAAAGAUUGGGAUAAGCCUUGGAAACGAGGUCUAAUACCAAAUACCUUCCUUUAACACAUGUUAAAAAGAAGAAAUGCUCCGGCGCUUUGGGAUGGUCUCGCGAUCUAUCAGCUUGUUGGUGAGGUAACGGCUCACCAAGGCAUCGACGGAUAGCUGGUCUGAGAGGAUGUCCAGCCACAUUGGAACUGAGACACGGUCCAAACUCCUACGGGAGGCAGCAGUAGGGAAUCUUGCACAAUGAGGGAAACCUUGAUGCAGCGACGCCGCGUGCGGGACGAAGGCCCUAGGGUUGUAAACCGCUUUCAGUAGGGACGAAAGUGACGGUACCUACAGAAGAAGCCCCGGCCAACUAUGUGCCAGCAGCCGCGGUAAU